UGGGGCGUCGUCAAGCGGCAAGACUCCGGUUUUUGGUUCCGGCAUCCCAGGUUCGAAUCCUGGCGCCCCAACCA
rnacentral:tRNA from 1 species